rnacentral:rRNA from 1 species
UAUGGAGCAAGCGUUAUCCGGAUUUACUGGGUGUAAAGGGAGCGCAGGCGGCCAGGCAAGUCCGAUGUGAAAUACCGGGGCCCAACCCCGGGGCUGCAUUGGAAACUGUCAGGCUGGAGUGUCGGAGGGGCAGGCGGAAUUCCUGGUGUAGCGGUGAAAUGCGUAGAUAUCAGGAGGAACACCGGUGGCGAAGGCGGCCUGCUGGACGACGACUGACGCUGAGGCUCGAAAGCGUGGGGAGCAAA